UCAUAUACAUCAAAUCGCAUCAAAAUCUUCACAUGUACGUGGAUCACAGUGAAUUAACAAGAACACUUUCAUUAAGACACGUGUCCGAUGCGGAAUGGCAGGUGACACUUCUGUGACGACCCCUCCUCAGAGGAGGACACUUUAAGUUCUCAACAACAGACAAGAAUGUUUGCUUGGAUUUGGAUCGACUUGUCAAGAAAACAUACCCAGCAAAUGAAACAAUAAAUAUUAAGCAAACG